AAAAUAGGUCGAUCUCAUUUCUCUAGAGAUUUCAAGAUCACCUACAUCGACGUUCCUUUCAACGUUUUCCUAUCUUAUACGAACAGCUGCACGUUUCAUUCAAGCGAAUUCUUUAGAAAAUUUGAAACCUGAAGAUAUGGAUUGUCUUGACGGCUGAGCCUGAUUGCUUCCAUAUCCUGAUCGAUGUUUCGCGUUCUACCUGGUGUCGAGGUCAAAAAAGAGUGUGACGGUGAGGGCUGACAAGCAACGUCGACGUCGACGGCAGUGACGCUCAAGGUCGACGGAAUCCUCGACACGGCAUUGUCGUUCUCGUUUCCCCCUCGGCGGCACGUGUUUGCGAUAAUGGCUGAAGGAUGUUUAUAAUAGAAGUGG